rnacentral:misc_RNA from 1 species
GAUCAGAUUCCAUCAAUUUUACCUGCAAAAGAAAGAUCACAAGUUCAACGAAAUAAAUCCAAUAUUAGCCAUAUAAUAUCAAAACAAUAAGAAUGAAAACUAGAUAUUUGGCUUCAGAUAACAUAAUGUACUUUAUAAUGAAAUAAACAUUCACACAUGGUGCAUUAUCUAGUAGCCUAUCCAAAAGGCAUCCUUAACAGAUUGAUG